AAAAGAAAAGUAAAGUCACCAUUUCACUGAGAAAAUAAGAUAGGGCUAAGUAUAGUAGUGUAGGCUUCUUCCCAGCACCGGGAGACAAGGCAGGCCGAUCAUAGUGAGACCCCGUCCAAAAAUCAAAUCAAAUGGUUAAAUGGCCGGGUGGUUAAGGGCACCUGGUGUUCUUGCAGAAGACCUGAAUUUGGUUCCCAGCAUAUGCGUGGCUGCUCACAACUGCCAGGAACUCCAGCUCCUGGAGACACCCUUCUCUAGUCUCCACACCCUCAUUCAGACACAUGGAUAAAAAUAUUUAAAUAAUAAUAAAGAUGAGUGCUUCACUGUGCUGCCCAGGCUGGCCCUGAACUCUUGCUCCAGUUCCCGCAAUAGCUGGGACUACCAGGAAUGCCAUGGCGCCUGGGCCAGGGCGACCCUUUCAGAUGUCCAUGCUACUUCCCCUCCAGAGGACAGCUCUGUGGAGAUGAGUCUCCCACGCCACCUCCUCUUGUGCUGGACAGUUGUGUGUCAGCUUGACACAGGCUAGAUUCUCACUUGACUGUUGAGACUCUCUAAUGAGAAAAUGCGCCCAUAAGAUUGGGCUAUAGCAAGCCUAUAGGGCAUUUUCCUAACGAUUGAUGGAGGAGGGCCCAGUUCAUUGUGGGUGGUGCCAUCCCUGGGCUGGUGGUCUUGUGCUCUAGGAGAGAGCAGGCUGAGCAGCCAUGGGGAGCAAGCCAGUAAGCAGCACCCCUCCAUGGUCUCCGCAUCAGCUCCUGCCUCCAGGUUUCUGCCUUGCUUGAGUUCCUGUCCUGACUUCCUUCAAGGAUGAACAGUGAUGUGAAGGGUAAGCCAAAGAAACCCUUUCCUCCCCAACUUGCUUUGGUCAUGGUGUUUUGUUGCAGAACAGAAGCCCUAACUAGCCGGGCGAUGGUGGCUCACACCUUUAAUCCCAGCACUCGGGAGGCAGAGGCAGGCGGAUCUCUGUGAGUUCGAGACCAGCCUGGUCUACAGAGCUAGUUCCAGGACAGGCUACAAAGCCACAGAGAAACCCUGUCUCGAAAAACCAAAAGAAGAAGCCCUAACUAAGACACGCCCUCGUGUGGGUUCUGGGAAUUGAACUCAGGUAGGUCACGAACUUUUCAGGUAAGCACUGUUACCCACUGAGCCUCUAAAUGACCUACGCUAUUUUUUAAAUUAAAAAUAACAUUUAAAUGUAUUAUGGGGGGAGGUCAGAGGUCUACUUUGUGAAAUCGGUCCUCCUCUUCUACUUUUCCAUGUGUUCCUGAGGUCAAACUCAGGUUGCCAGGCUUGCGCAGCAACACCUUCACCACCGGGCCAGCUCCUCGGGAGAGGCUUUCAGAGCCCAGGGCCACCCUCACGAAACCACCGCACAGGAUGCCCAGAGAAGUCUCUGUCUUCAGAUCUCAUCCCCACUUGGUCCUGCUGGGUGCGUCUGUGCUAAAUGUGUAACAGCAGAGACAGCGCAGUGUGACAGCCGCAAGCUAAGGAAGAAGAAAGCCCUGAACCCCUUCAGCCACCAAAGGGAAGCCCCCUGGAGUACUUCUCCUUCUGGGACGAAUGGAGCCUAGGUUUUGCGUGGACGGCUACAGUCACCAACCUGCUCGUCUCAGGUCUGCAGUUCCGGCACGUGGACUGACAGACAAGGUCCCUCUGGUGCGCCACCAUCUUGGGUUUAUCCUGAGGUCAGUUCUACUUUACCUCUCACCCCGAGGGUCCUCACCUCAAGCUCCCAGUACAGAGAUGGAAAACAACUCCCCCUGGCCGCCCCACCCAGGGAAACGUGUACUUCCUGAGUACAGACCAAAGUCGCCUUGUGGCGUGAGAGGUACUGACUCCUGAGGGCUCUUCAGCUGUUUGCUUAGCCUCUGAAGUGCACUGAGAACCCAGUCUCAGGAGUGCAGAGGCUUGGCUUGUCACCCCUUCCAGCUCCAGUUCGUGGCAAAGGCCACCUGGUGAGCCAGGGAGGCUGCCAGAGCGAAUGUGAGUGCUCCCGCCAUGUUCCGGAGCUGGCUGGAGGAGGAAGGGGCCGUGGGGCCUUUUCCACUCUUUGGGGAUGAAGAAUUCUCUCUGAUGGCUCGGGUAGCAGGCAAUGCCGUCAGCUGGGACUAUCGACCCAGGACUUUUACUCCAGCAAUACUGCAUUCCUCCCGCCUGCUCCCCAGGGCUGUCUCCUCAACCUUCGACCCACGUGGGGACACACAGGUGUGAGCACAGACACACACAGGGCUCUAGAUGAGGGAUCCCCAUCCCGGCUGCAGCCUUUACGCCUCAUUCUGAUGGCCAGUUACAGCAAGAUCCCUGCUUUGUGUCUAAUUAUGGUGGGCAUUAACACCAAGCACACCUUGCAGGGUAGGUGGGAAGACACACAACCCAGAAGACAGAAAUUAUGUUCUCAAAUGUCACUGGCCUCAUGACCUGCACAACUCCCAGACUAGGGAUUUAGUUAUCAAAUAAAUCAAAAUCAAAUUAAA